GCACAGACCUGAGUCCCCCAUAGGGGUCAGCACCAUGUGACACCAUGCAAAUCUUCCCAUCCCCCUCCGUGGAUUGAAAAGCCGAGCCCUGGCCUGGGGCAGUGACUGUGCCCCACCAUGGACACGCUCUGCUCCACUCUCCUGCUGCUGACCGUCCCUUCCUGGGUUCUGUCCCAGGUCACCCUGCAGGAGUCGGGUCCUGGGCUGGUGAGACCCACCCAGACCCUUACGCUGACCUGCUCCUUCUCUGGGUUCUCACUGAGCACUAGUGGCAUGGGUGUGGCCUGGGUCCGUCAGCCCCCCGGGAAGGCCCUGGAGUGGCUCGCAACCAUUUGGUGGGAUGAUGAUAAGUAUUAUAGCCCAUCUCUGAAGAGCCGGCUCUCGAUCUCCAAGGACACUUCCAGAAACCAGGUGGUCCUAACAAUGACCAGCAUGGACCCUGCAGACACAACCACGUAUUUCUGUGCACGGAGGCACAGAGACACAGCCCAGGGCACUCUUGUACAAGAACCCAGGCUGGGCCUCAGCUGGGCCCCCAAGUCUGCAGCACAGGAACGUGUGGCACAUGGCAUUUCCUGCCAGGCUCUGGGGUUCCUCCCCACCCACAGCCUCGGAUCCCCGUCUUCCUAUCUCUUCUCUCCUUAG